rnacentral:lncRNA from 1 species
AUAGUGGUUUGGUUUCCAUAGGAUUUAGGUGACAACUUAUGUUCUAGAGAAAUGUUUUGUCCUAUCGAUGUUUUAGCUACUUUUUUUUGUUUCAAAUACUCAAAGUUGCAUUGUACUAUGAAUGAAAUUGUGGUUUAGUUUUCUCUGAAUUGUUGUUGAUUUGAAAAUAGUUACAUAUGGCUGUUUGGGUUAUGGUUGGUUGUUUGAUUUGGCAGUAUAUUUUCAAUCCAUAGUGUUGAUAAAAGUAAAAUCCUAGUCUAAACACAGUAACUUGUGAAACAAGUUAACUGUCUUUUGUGCAUGCUUAGCUGGCAUAGGCUGUUAGAUUCAUUGUAAAUGACUGUCAGUUAGUUGAU